rnacentral:rRNA from 1 species
GUGAAGCUACUAAGAGCGUACGGUGAAUGACUAGGCAACAAGGGCCGAAGAAGGACGUGGCACACUACGAAAAGCCUCGGGGAGCCGUGUGCAGGCGAGGAACCGGGGGUAUCCGAAUGGGGAAACCCGCCUGGGGGAAGCCCAGGCACCGUGGGAACACGGGGGGCACGCAGGGAACUGAAACAUCUUAGUACCUGCAGGAACAGAGAAUAUUCUCCGAGUAGUGGCGAGCGAAAGGGGAAGAGUCCAAACGGAGAUGGCUAAGUGGAUGUUGGUCCUAAGCUAUGUCUGGGUAGAGGACCUUAACGGGGGGAGCCAACACUGCCCCAGCGAGAGGGAGCGCGUUAGCCGAACGGCACUGGAAAGGCCGUCCAGAGAGGGUGAGAGACCCGUAAGCGAAAACGCGGACCGGCGCGGGUUAAGGGACCGGAGUACCACGGGGCACGCUAAUCCCGUGGGAAGCAGGGCAGCCCACUGUCCAAGACUAAAUACCCUGAGUUGACCGAUAGCGGACAAGUACCGUGAGGGAAAGUUGAAAAGAACCCCGGCGAGGGGAGUGAAAAAGAACCUAAAACCGUAUGCUUACAAGCAGUCGGAGCGCUAUGCUCGCGAGAGCCAGCGUGACGGCCUGCCUUUUGGAGAAUGAGCCAGCGAGUUACGUCUGUGUGGCAAGGUUAAGGCAGAGACAGCCGAAGCCGCAGGGAAACCGAGUCUGAGAAGGGCGAAAGUCGCACGGAGUAGACACGAAACCAGGUGAGCUAUCCAUGGUCAGGCUGAAGCGGGGCUAAACCCCCGUGGAGGGCCGCACCUUUCUCUAUUGCAAAAGGGUAGGAUGAACUGUGGAUAGGAGUGAUAUGCGAAACGAACUUGGAGAUAGCUUGUUCUCUCCGAAAUAGCUUUAGGGCUAGCCUUGCGCGGUAAAUCUUGGAGGUAGAGCACUGGAUGGACUCGGGGGCGCGAGCUUACCAAAUCCAACCAAACUCCGAAUGCCAAGAUUGAAGAGCGCAGGAGUCGGACUACGAAUGAUGAGAUCCGUAGUCGAGAGG